rnacentral:rRNA from 1 species
GAUGAACGCUGGCGGCGUGCCUAAUACAUGCAAGUCGAGCGAAGCGGGGACGGGUGAGUAACAUGUGGAUAACCUCCUAUAAGACUGGGAUAACUUCGGGAAACCGGAGUUAAACCGGCUACUUAUAGAUAGAUCCGCUCUGGAUUAGCUAGUUGGUAAGGUAACGGCUUACCAAGGCAACGAUGCAUAUCCGACCUGAGAGGGUGAGCAGACACACUGGAACUGAGACACGGUCCAGAUUCCUACGGGAGGCAGCAGUAGGGAAUCUUCCGCAAUGGGCGAAAGCCUGACGGAGCAACGCCGCGUGAGUGAUGAAGGUCUUCGGAUCGUAAAACUCUGUUAGUAGGGAAGCGGUACCUAAUCAGAAAGCCACGGCUAACUACGUGCCAGCAGCCGCGGUAAUAC